rnacentral:rRNA from 1 species
CUUUCUUUGCUGGCGACCGGCGCACGGGUGAGUAACACGUAUCCAACCUGCCCUUUACUCGGGGAUAGCCUUUCGAAAGAAAGAUUAAUACCCGAUAGUAUAAUGAUUCCGCAUGGUUUCAUUAUUAAAGGAUUCCGGUAAAGGAUGGGGAUGCGUUCCAUUAGAUUGUUGGUGAGGUAACGGCUCACCAAGCCUUCGAUAGAUAGGGGUUCUGAGAGGAAGGUCCCCCACAUUGGAACUGAGACACGGUCCAA